rnacentral:rRNA from 1 species
GACGAACGCUGGCGGCGUGCUUAACACAUGCAAGUCGAACGGAAAGGCCCUGCUUUUGUGGGGUGCUCGAGUGGCGAACGGGUGAGUAACACGUGAGUAACCUGCCCUUGACUUUGGGAUAACUUCAGGAAACUGGGGCUAAUACCGGAUAGGAGCUCCUGCUGCAUGGUGGGGGUUGGAAAGUUUUGGCGGUUGGGGAUGGACUCGCGGCUUAUCAGCUUGUUGGUGGGGUAGUGGCUUACCAAGGCUUUGACGGGUAGCCGGCCUGAGAGGGUGACCGGCCACAUUGGGACUGAGAUACGGCCCAGACUCCUACGGGAGGCAGCAGUGGGGAAUAUUGCACAAUGGGCGGAAGCCUGAUGCAGCAACGCCGCGUGCGGGAUGACGGCCUUCGGGUUGUAAACCGCUUUCGCCUGUGACGAAGCGUGAGUGACGGUAAUGGGUAAAGAAGCACCGGCUAACUACGUG